rnacentral:rRNA from 1 species
GACGAACGCUGGCGGCGUGCCUAAUACAUGCAAGUCGAGCGGAUCUUCAUUAGCUUGCUUUUGAAGAUCAGCGGCGGACGGGUGAGUAACACGUGGGCAACCUGCCUGUAAGACUGGGAUAACUUCGGGAAACCGGAGCUAAUACCGGAUAAUCCUUUUCCUCUCAUUAGGAAAAGCUGAAAGACGGUUUCGGCUGUCACUUACCGAUGGGCCCGCGGCGCAUUAGCUAGUUGGUGAGGUAAGGGCUCACCAAGGCGACGAUGCGUAGCCGACCUGAGAGGGUGAUCGGCCACACUGGGACUGAGACACGGCCCAGACUCCUACGGGAGGCAGCAGUAGGGAAUCUUCCGCAAUGGACGAAAGUCUGACGGAGCAACGCCGCGUGAGCGAUGAAGGCCUUCGGGUCGUAAAGCUCUGUUGUCAGGGAAGAACAAGUACCGGAGUAACUGCCGGUACCUUGACGGUACCUGACCAGAAAGCCACGGCUAACUACGUGCCAGCCGCCGCCGUAAAAC